GGACACCUUCACAGAAACUCCUAGAUGAGUGUUUGAGCAAUCAGGGACGAUAACCAGCCAAGUGGGCACAUAGGCUCUCCAAGGUGGUGUGUUACUACGUGGAAACAUCUGAGUGUGGAGCAAUAUUGCACGAGUAUCCUGCGGCUGCCACCACACGCUGAUUACUACUAACUUGAUUGGCCUGAGCUAACAUCUGUUGCUAAUCUUCCUCUUCUCGCUUGAGGAAGAUUGUCCCUGAGCUAACAUCUGUGCCAGUCCUCCUCUACUUUAUAUGUGGGAUGCUGCCACAACAUGGCUUGACAAAUGGUGUGUGGGUCUGCGCCCAGGAUCCGAACCCACAAACCUUGGGCCGCCGAAGCGGAGUAUGUGAACUUAACCACUACGCCACCAGGCUGGCCCCGUGAGCUCAUGGAUUACUUUGAUCUUUUUUAUAGUUUAAUCUGUUUUUUAAAACUCAAAGUUUACAAGAUUUUCCUAUAAUAAAAGUAUUUAGGCUCUGAUCUCCCUCAAUAUAUUCUGAUUUCUUUGUUGCUGAGAGAAACUGAAGAAGAUUUAAAUAAAGAAGACUGUUUAUGGGCUGGAAGAUUGGCCGUUUUUACGAUGUCGAUUCCCCCCAAAUCAACCCAAGGAUUUAACACAAUCCCAAUCGAAAUCUCAAUGUGCUUAAAAGAAGGAAAGAAAUUGACUAGCUAAUUCUAAAAUUUGUAGGGAAAUGCGAAGGACUUGGAACCACCAAAACAAUCUCCAAAAAGAACCAAGCAGGACUCACACUGCCUGAUGCAAGGCUCGCUGUAAAGCUGUGUGGCCAGCGUGGCUGGGCCCUGAACUCCGAGAGGCCAGCAAGUUUGGUCUGGCUGGUUCACUGCGGUGGCCUCGCUGUCUGGAGCAGUCUUGGCCUGGGACGUCAUAGACUCGAAAACUUGUUGACUGAGUGAAGAAGGUCCUGCCUGCCACUCAAAGUUUGAAAAUCCCAUGAAAACAUCCAAGCAUUUUUGUGAGUCUGACAUGAAUUGCCAAAAUGCCCCCUGGGAAGAAUUGCUGCAACUUACAGCAGGUGCACAAGACGUCCCUUCGCACUUUAAGCAGCUCCUUCAGGUCUUUCCAGCUUGAUGACCUCCUGCAAGAAAAUGUGGGUUUCUUGGUUUAUUUAAUGUAAAUGUUGUUCUUAAUUGUUUCUUGGUUUAAAUUUCUUCCCAUCAGGGGAUAGAUCCCCAAGGGCACGAAUGAAAUUGGUGAGUCCAUGUAUCUGCCACAAAGUCUGGCACAGAACUGGGACCCCAGCCUUACCCAUAAAAAUGAGUAGUUUGAAGACGUGUGUGGGGCAAAUUCAUCCCAAGACAGAGCGUAUUGUGAUUUUAAACCCUCAAGUCCUCAAUUAAAUUAAAAAUCAGUUUAAAAGGCCCUGGUAAAAUUUGGGGGAGCACGCAGGGAAAUGGGCACUCAGGCACCGGGGGUGGGAGUGUAAAUGACUUCAGUGUUUCUGGAAAGCAAUUUCCCCAUGUGAUUCCAGAUCCUGGAAAUCACUCAUGCCCUUUUAUUAGGUAAUUCCACACCUAGGGAAGAUCCUGAGGAAAUAAAAAAAUAAUCAGAGAUGCACAGAAAGAUUUAUUUAUGUACCAACGUGUUCACCGCAGUAGAGCUUAUAAAUAAAUUGGAGACAGCUCGAUGUCCAUCAGCAGGCAGCUGACUUCAGUAGAGCGUGGUGUGUUCAUACAAGGGAAUUCUUUGCAAUCCUUAAAAUUCAAGUUUUAAAAGAUCUUUUAAAUGGCGGGGUAGAAACCGUGUGUAAUGUUGAAUGAAGAAAGCAGAUUAUAGAAAUAUAUUCUGUGUGGUCUCAAUAUUAUGAAAAUCCCUGUGCAUAUGUGCACGGAAAGAAGAGUGGAAAGAAACAAUACAAAUACUGCAGAGCUAUCACUGGAAUGUGAGAUUAAAGUUAAUUUUUCUUUCCUU
rnacentral:lncRNA from 1 species